AUGGAGCUCGGGGGCCCCGGGGCGCCGCGGCUGCUGCCGCCGCUGCUGCUGCUUCUGGGCACCGGCCUCCUGCGCGGUAAGUUACGGGGCGCGGGAUGGGCCCCCUUUCGCCCGCGUUCGGAUGGCCUGGGACCCCCGGAGCCAGAGGGAGGGAGGCUCCUGACUGCGGUCCCAAGCCGCGGG
rnacentral:sRNA from 1 species